UACGUAGGGUGCGAGCGUUGUCCGGAAUUAUUGGGCGUAAAGAGCUCGUAGGCGGCCUGUCGCGUCGGAUGUGAAAGCCCCGGGCUCAACCCGGGAAGUGCACUCGAUACUGCGGAACUUGAGUGUGGGAGAGGUUGGUGGAAUUCUCGGUGUAGAGGUGAAAUUCGUAGAUAUCGAGAGGAACACCGGCGGCGAAGGCGGCCAACUGGACCACUACUGACGCUGAGACACGAAAGCGUGGGGAGCAAACAGG
rnacentral:rRNA from 1 species